GACACGUUCAGAAAUGACACUGAAUCCCUGUGUUGAGUCUACAGAGACAUCUAGACUUAAAAUAGAUCAUUUAUAUUUAAGUUUAAAAGGAGGAUGAGACUGAGUUUUUGUAGAGUUAUAAUUACAUUCAAAAUAUACUUUUUUGCAUUGAAAAAAUGUUAAAUUUUUGAAAAGCGAAUAUUGAUGUCAUUCUAUUCUCAAAUCAGUAGAUGCUGUGUCUUCAUUUCUAGUGCUGAUGUGAAAACACAUGGUCAGUUGUUGCUGCGUCAGAGAUAUGAGAAAUUCUUUUCUCUUAGGUGUGCAUCACUGAUAUACUUGUCCGUGAAAGGUGAAAGACACUGAAAUGUAAGAUGCGUGAGUAAAAUCUUGGUAGAGAGGCUCUUUGUGGUUGUUUUAUAUACUUGUAAGUGAUUUAUGAGAUAGGUGUUUAGAAUAAUACUCUUCUGUUAGGGUCACCCUGAUCAGACCGUUCCCUUCCCCUCCCACAGGACUUACAAUACGGUCCCUUGUGCUCUCUGCACAGCUACCCCAGGGCAAAAAACAAACCCCCCUUCACUGAUCCCUCCAGUAACUGUGCAGACAGUUACAGGAUGCGGUUAACAUGUCUGUUCACCUCGCAUAACAAAGCUGGCAAAAAACAUCUCCAGGAUGCAGACAAGACACCUGCACCCUCGACUAAGCUCCCCCACCCCAACCCAGUUCUCCUGCACCCCCAACUCAGCUCCCGCACCCCGACCUAGUUCUGGCCCUAUAAAAACCUGCUAUAGUCUGUAAGCAGGGCUGCCUCCUCUAACUGUGGUGGAGCAGCCAAGCAGCUCAAUAAAGCUUGCUUGCCUGAC
rnacentral:lncRNA from 1 species